AUUGAACGCUGGCGGCAGGCCUAACACAUGCAAGUCGAGCGGAUGAAGGGAGCUUGCUCCUGGAUUCAGCGGCGGACGGGUGAGUAAUGCCUAGGAAUCUGCCUGGUAGUGGGGGAUAACGUCCGGAAACGGGCGCUAAUACCGCAUACGUCCUGAGGGAGAAAGUGGGGGAUCUUCGGACCUCACGCUAUCAGAUGAGCCUAGGUCGGAUUAGCUAGUUGGUGGGGUAAAGGCCUACCAAGGCGACGAUCCGUAACUGGUCUGAGAGGAUGAUCAGUCACACUGGAACUGAGACACGGUCCAGACUCCUACGGGAGGCAGCAGAGGGGAAUAUUGGACAAUGGGCGAAAGCCUGAUCCAGCCAUGCCGCGUGUGCGAAGAAGGUCUUCGGAUUGUAAAGCACUUUAAGUUGGGAGGAAGGGCAGUAAGUUAAUACCUUGCUGUUUUGACGUUACCAACAGAAUAAGCACCGGCUAACUUCGAG
rnacentral:rRNA from 1 species